AGAGUUUGAUCCUGGCUCAGGAUAAACGCUAGCGGCAGGCCUAACACAUGCAAGUCGAGGGGCAGCGUAACGGGUAGCAAUACCUGUUGACGGCGACCGGCGCACGGGUGCGUAACGCGUAUGUAACCUACCGUUCACAGGGGGAUAGUCAGAGGAAACUUUGAAUAAUACCGCAUAAAACAGGGGUCCGGCAUCGGAAUAUUUGUUAAAGGUGGCGACACGGUGAACGAUGGGCAUGCGUUCGAUUAGAUAGUUGGAGAGGUAACGGCUCACCAAGUCUACGAUCGAUAGGGGGUCUGAGAGGAUUAUCCCCCACACUGGUACUGAGAUACGGACCAGACUCCUACGGGAGGCAGCAGUGAGGAAUAUUGGGCAAUGGGCGAAAGCCUGACCCAGCCAUGCCGCGUGCAGGAAGACGGCCCUAUGGGUUGUAAACUGCUUUUACUCGGGAAGAAUAAGGGUUACGUGUAACCCGAUGACGGUACCGAAAGAAUAAGCAUCGGCUAACUCCGUGCCAGCAGCCGCGGUAAUACGGAGGAUGCGAGCGUUAUCCGGAAUUAUUGGGUUUAAAGGGUCCGCAGGCGGACAGGUAAGUCAGUAGUGAAAAACCGGGGCUUAACCCCGGUCGUGCUACAGAAACUGCCUGACUAGAGAAAGUUUGGCGUUGGCGGAAUGUGACAAGUAGCGGUGAAAUGCAUAGAUAUGUCACAGAACACCGAUAGCGAAAGCAGCUGACGAAGACUAUUCUGACGCUCAGGGACGAAAGCGUGGGGAGCAAACAGGAUUAGAUACCCUGGUAGUCCACGCAGUAAAGUACCAUCUUUUUGUCCGCAAGGAUGAGAGGAUCAUCGAAAGAGAUAAGUACCCCACCUGGGGAGUACGUGCGCAAGCAUGAAACUCAAAGGAAUUGACGGGGGCCCGCACAAGCGGUGGAGCAUGUGGUUUAAUUCGA
rnacentral:rRNA from 1 species